UAGGGAAUAUUGGACAAUGGGCGAAAGCCUGAUCCAGCAACGCCGCGUGUGCGAUGAAGGUCUUCGGAUCGUAAAGCACUUUUCGAGAAGAUGAGGAAGGACAGUACUCUCGGAAUAAGUCUCGGCUAACUACGUGCCAGCAGCCGCGGUAAAACGUAGGAGGCAAGCGUUAUCCGGAUUUACUGGGCGUAAAGCGCGUGCAGGCGGUUUGGUAAGUUGGAUGUGAAAGCUCCCGGCUCAACUGGGAGAGGUCGUUCAAAACUACCAGACUUGAGGGCGGUAGAGGGAAGUGGAAUUCCGCGUGUAGUGGUGAAAUGCGUAGAUAUACGGAGGAACACCAGUGGCGAAAGCGGCUUCCUGGACCGAUCCUGACGCUCAGACGCGAAAGCUAGGGGAGCAAACGG
rnacentral:rRNA from 1 species